rnacentral:rRNA from 1 species
CCCGUUCCCAUCCCGAACACGAUGGUUAAGACCUAAGCGGCCGAUGGUACUAUGCUGGAGACGGCAUGGGAGAGCAGGUGAGUGCCAGAU